rnacentral:rRNA from 1 species
UACGUAGGGGGCGAGCGUUGUCCGGAAUUAUUGGGCGUAAAGCGCGCGCAGGCGGUUUUUUAAGUCAGGAGUUUAAGCCCGGGGCUCAACCCCGGUACGCUCCUGAAACUGGGAGACUUGAGUGCAGUAGAGGAGAGUGGAAUUCCACGUGUAGCGGUGAAAUGCGUAGAGAUGUGGAGGAACACCAGUGGCGAAGGCGACUCUCUGGGCUGUAACUGACGCUGAGGCGCGAAAGCGUGGGGAGCAAACAGG